rnacentral:ncRNA from 1 species
CUACGGACUUGAUUGUAUUGAGCCUUGGUAUGGAAACCUGCUAAGUGGCAACUUCCAAAUUCAGAGAAACCCUGGAAUUAAAAAAGGGGCAAUCCUGAGCCAAAUCCAUGUUUUGAGAAAACAAGCGGUUCUCGAACUAGAACCCAAAGGAAAAGGAUAGGUGCAGAGACUCAAUGGAAGCUGUUCUAACGAAUCGAGUCCUCUUCCCUCUCUCUCUCUUCUCUUUUUGAUCUCUCUCGUCGGCCACCGGUGGAAGGAGGACGCGG